rnacentral:rRNA from 1 species
CCUACGGGAGGCAGCAGUGAGGAAUAUUGGUCAAUGGACGCAAGUCUGAACCAGCCAUGCCGCGUGCAGGAAGACGGCUCUAUGAGUUGUAAACUGCUUUUGUACGAGGGUAAACGCAGAUAUGCGUAUCUGUCUGAAAGUAUCGUACGAAUCAGGAUCGGCUAACUCCGUGCCAGCAGCCGCGGUAAUACGGAGGAUGCGUGCGUUAUCCGGAUGUAUUGGGUUUAAAGGGUGCGCAGGCGGAGGUGCAAGGCAGCGGUCAAAUUGCGGGGCUCAACCCCGUACUGCCGUUGAAACUGCAUCCCUUGAGUGCGCGAGAGGUAGGCGGAAUGCGUGGUGUAGCGGUGAAAUGCGUAGAGAUCACGCAGAACUCCGAUUGCGAAGGCAGCAUACCGGCGCGCAACUGACGCUCAUGCACGAAAGCGUGGGGAUCGAACAGGAUUAGAUACCCGAGUAGUC